UUAAACAACAGUUUUGUAUACAAACUAUUACAAAGAGUACUUUUUGCUUGUAUAAUGAUCCUUUUGAUUGGGAUCGUGAUCUAAGUAAAUAUUUGCCUAUUAUGAGCAUCAUUUUAAUUCUCAUCAUCAUCAUGAUACUCAUCAACAUCAUCAACCUGAAUCUAAGUAUCAUCAACCAUCGGAUCAUUUCUAGUUAACCAUUUUAUUAGGAAAAGUAAUUGUUGGUGAUUAAAUUGAGAGACUACGUAAGGAAAGUGACUAAAUCUUGUUUUAGUCCGUCUUUCUAGUGACACUACAAGGUAAGGACAACGGUGGAGAUGAAAAAAGAUGGUGAUGAUGAAAAAGCGAUGAAGAUAAUGAUGGAGAAAGAGUCUCGAUAUACAUUUAUUUAUCAUUUUUACCAUUAACUUUCUCCUUCUGUUAACAAGGUUGAAAAACUGCAUAAUCAAAAAGUUUAACCAAUGUUGCUUGUUAAACGAGUCAACUUGAACCUAAGACUUUACUAUUAUCAUUAUUAUUGAGAGCUGAAAUUCAAUUUGAUGAUUGAUUCAGGAUAAUCCAUCAUAAACUCUAUCAGCUUCAUCUGCAGCAAAAUAGAAAGCUUUCUUGAUUUUCUUAAAAAAACAUCUAAUUCUGUUACAUGCUCUACGAAUUAUCAUCUUCAUUUUCAUUUUAACUAUGUUUAGUUGCUUUAUUAUUAUUAUGUGCUUGUGUGAAAGUUACCAGUUUAUCAUCUGUUAGCCAUGGCCUCACCUAUGGGCCUCAAUUGAAUGCUCAAAAUAUGAAAUGAUUGAGCUAUUUCAAGUAUUAGCCAAUGGAUAAAAUUACACUGAAGGAAAUACGCGAAUGACGGUUCGGAGGAUUUUCUUAUGGAUCAUCUCAAAUUCAUCCACUUUCCUGUGUAACCAGAAUCGUUUUAUUCCAACUUGUUUAUAUUUUUUUGAGAUUACUCUUGCAAAGACCAAUUUAAGGACUUUAAUUAAGAUACAACAAAAGUAAAUUUUGUUCAUUUUGACAACAAUUAGAAUUUCUCAACAGAAUUAUAGAAAUAUUAAAGAUAUUAAUAUUUGAUGAA